GACGAACGCUGGCGGCGUGCUUAACACAUGCAAGUCGAACGGUGAAGCGCCUUCCUUUUUGGUGGGUGUGGAUGAGUGGCGAACGGGUGAGUAACACGUGAGUAACCUGCCCCCUUCUUCUGGAUAACCGCAUGAAAGUGUGGCUAAUACGGGAUAUUCUGGGUCUGUCGCAUGAUGGGUCUGGGAAAGAUAUUGUUUCGGUGGGGGAUGGGCUCGCGGCCUAUCAGCUUGUUGGUGGGGUGAUGGCCUACCAAGGCGGUGACGGGUAGCCGGCCUGAGAGGGUGGACGGGCACACUGGGACUGAGACACGGCCCAGACGCAUACGGGAGACAGCAGUGGGGAAUAUUGGACAAUGGGCGCAAGACUGAUGCAGCGACGCCGCGUGAGGGAUGGAGGCCUGCGGGUUGUGAACCUCUUUCGCCAGUGAAGCAGGCCUGCCUCGUUUGUGGGUGGGUUGACGGUAGCGGGAUAAGAAGCGCCGGCUAACUACGUG
rnacentral:rRNA from 1 species